GGAAUCUGUUUUCCAAAGUAUCUAAGACAGCUGGACAUGAACUUUAGGCCCGGUUCAAAAACCAAGCAAACCCUCCCCUGCUGUGCCUGCCCACAGCAGCACAAGGAGCCCCCUCAGCUGCUGAGGCAGCCACAGUGGGAAGGCCACGGGGCCUCCACAGAAGCUGGCACGGGCUCCUUGGGAGAAGUCCUGCCUGGUGGCCCUCCCGAACACUGGGCUGUGACACACAGAAGGAACCUGUGGGCAAGGACACCAAUGCUGCUCUGACCCCAUUGGCCGGGGCUGCACCAAAAUCAGCAGCUCCGGCAAGUCCCCGCCCAAGGAGACCUGCCACCGCCCCGAGUCCUGGCAGGACAAAGCUACACCCUUAUGGUCCCAUUAGCCAAAGGCACAAGCAGACAUGAGCCAAGAUGGUGUAAACCCAGUUUAGAGUAUUCCAGUUACUCCCAUCCCCACCUUUCAUGGCGUCAUCUCUGGUAUCAGCCCCAGCCGUGCAUCACAAUUCCCAUUGCUCCCUGCUGAACAGUGAAGUCGAAAGAGCUGCAUGGGGGAAUCAACAAUAUUUAUGAGUACCAAACCUCUACAUCGAAGCUGACCACAAAAAAGCCAAAAAUAAACAUUUAUAUGUCUAUUUUUAA